rnacentral:rRNA from 1 species
UGNUCUGUCACUGACGCUGAGGCUCGAAAGCGUGGGUAGCGAACAGGAUUAGAUACCCUGGUAGUNCACGCCGUAAACGAUGAGUGCUAAGUGUUAGGCCCUUUCCGGGGCUUAGUGCCGGAGCUAACGCAAUAAGCACUCCGCCUGGGGAGUACGACCGCAAGGUUGAAACUCAAAGGAAUUGACGGGGGCCCGCACAAGCGGUGGAGCAUGUGGUUUAAUUCGAAGCAACGCGAAGAACCUUACCAGGUCUUGACAUCCCGAUGCUAUUCUUAGAGAUAGGAAGUUACUUCGGUACAUCGGAGACAGGUGGUGCAUGGUUGUCGUCAGCUCGUGCCGUGAGAUGUUGGGUUAAGUCCCGCAACGAGCGCAACCCUUAUUGUUAGUUGCCAUCAUUAAGUUGGGCACUCUAGCGAGACUGCCGGUAAUAAACCGGAGGAAGGUGGGGAUGACGUCAAAUCAUCAUGCCCCUUAUGACCUGGGCUACACACGUGCUACAAUGGUCGGUACAACGAGUUGCGAGCCGGUGACGGCAAGCUAAUCUCUGAAAGCCGAUCUCAGUUCGGAUUGGAGGCUGCAACUCGCCUCCAUGAAGUCGGAAUCGCUAGUAAUCGCGGAUCAGCACGCCGCGGUGAAUACGUUCCCGGGCCUUGUACACA